AGAGUUUCUUCCUAUCUGUGUUCCUGAGACUGAAGUCACACUUCUCACACAUUUACUUUCCUUUAUUGAAAGACUCACACAGAAACAGGCAUUUCUGUUUGCUACAAUGGCUUUUGGGCUGCUCCUGUUCAUUUCUCUUCUUACUUACAACACAGGGUUCAGUGCUGAGAUCUCUGUGUUUGUUCAGACGGGAGAUUCUGUUCAACUGGAUAUACAGACACAGGAACUACCAGAGUUUGUUCUUUUAUCCUGGACAAAUAAAUUAGACAAUAUAGUUAUGUAUUUACGUGGAACUAAAGAAGUACAACUUCACCCUUCCUACAAGGACAGAGUGUAUUUCAAUGAUGAAACCUUCUCUCUCACACUGAAGAACAUGCAGAAGACAGACAGUGGACUCUAUACAGCAAAGACAAGUGGAUUUUCAAACAAAUAUAUUGCUGCAUACAGCCUAUCUGUUAUAGAUGCAGUGGAAGCUCCGGUUCUGACUGUAAACUCAAACUGGUCCAGCUCUGACCCCUGUAGCUUUACAUGUAAAGGAAGUAACAUUACUGUCAGCUCCAUCUAUAAUAGUAGCAGCUGUUCUCCAGAGGAAGUGACAUCAUCUGAUAACUACACUCUAACACUGAACUGUAGUGGCGACUACAUCACGUGUAACCAUAGCAACCCAGUGAGCUGGAAGACUGAAAUAAAGAAGGUUAAUGAACUCUGCACUGUUGAUCCAGAAAUGCCAGAAGCUAGAAGAAAUUCAAUGAAUUCCUCAUGGCUUAUCCUCUUUAUUUGCCUAUUGACAACGAGUUUGUUGGCUUCAGUGAUCAGCUGGUGUCUCUACAAGAGAAAAAAAGAUCAUUCCUACACCCCUGACCAGCAGAAUGAACCUACGGUCUAUGAAAAAGUUGGCGAAAAUAUUAAUCCACAAAGGCCACUGGAGAUGUUGGAGAAAUCAAAAAAUCCUUCCACAGUUUAUGAUACUUUAAGAGAACAUGGAACUCCUGAAGUUACACUGGAAACCAACCAGACUUCACGCAAUCAUGACACAGUGAAUCAGAGUGCAACACUAACAGAGAAGAGCCAACCAAAUGCACCAGUCACUAUCUACUCUACCAUUGAGAAGCAAACAAAAUCUGAAACUGAUCACACAAUUUAUGCUGCAGUCAGUAAACAGCCAGCUGGAGAUGAAUCUGUACAUCCAAAACUGGUAUUUGGUAAUACUUCAGUCAUUACUAAUGGGUUACUAUCACUUUCACUUUAGAAUUAAUUAUACAUUAUGCAUUAUUCUCAUUAAUUACGAACAUGUAUAUACUAGUUCUUAGUAGUUCUCUGGGAGGAAUGAAAAAACAGUAGUUACUGAUUAGUUAAUAGUGAACUACCACCUUCAACUGAGCACUAUUACUUACUAAUUAAUUCAUCAGAGUUUAUUGUUAGUUAAUAGUAGUUACUAUAGUGUUAAUAAUGCAUUACUCAUUUGUUCCUGUGUAGUUAUUCAUUAAUGAAGGAUCAGUAUUCUAAAGUGUUACCAAAUAUUUUUAGAUAGAAUCUCGCAUGUAAUGUCACAGGACUUGCCAAUUUCCUGUUUUUGUUAACUAAACAAGCUUAACACUUCUGCUUUCAAAUCUGACUCGUGAUUAGACUACAUGAUUAUAAGUAGAUUUACUGUAAUCAUUUUUCAGUCUUGCCACAGAUACUCAUCACAGACAUACUGUAAGUUUGAAUAUAACACUGGAUAUUCCUUUGGAAAGUACCAGAUGGAAAUAAGAAACAUUUUCAUCAGAAUUUUUAGAGCAAAAAGUUCAUAUAGAAUAUGUUCUAUGCUUGAACACUGAAAAUUGUGGUCUUGAAAAUUGAUAUUAUGUUAAACAUCAUGUACCCAGCAGAAUGAACAAACAGUAUAUGCAGAAGUUGAUGAGAACAUCAAGCCACAAAAGUCACUGGAGAUGUUGGAGAAAUCAGAGAAUCCUCAAACUGUUUAUGAUACUACAGGAGAGUCAGAACAACCUGAUGUUACCAUGGAAACCAACCAGACCUCACCCAAUCAUGAC